rnacentral:rRNA from 1 species
GAUGAACGCUGGCGGCAGGCUUAACACAUGCAAGUCGGACGGGUAGUGGUGUUUCCAGUGUCGGUCGGGCGAGUAACGCGUGAGAACCUGCCCUGGGGAUGGGAACAACAGCUGGAAAAGGCUGCGAAUACGCCGUAGGUAGAGCAGAAGAAGGAGGAGUCCGACUGAGGGGGGGCUGGCGUAUGAGUAGCUAGUUGGUGAGGCAAUAGCUUACCAAGGCGAUGAACAGUAGAUGUUCCGAGAGGAUGAUCGGCCACACUGGGACGGAGACACGGAGCCGACUACUAUGGGAGGCAGGCGUGGGGAAGUUUCCGCAAUGCGCGAAAGCCUAACAGAGCAUUGCCGUGGGGAAGUAGAAGGCCUACGGGUCGUGAACUUCAUUUCACGGAGAAGAAGUAUUGACGUUAUCUGGAGAAUAAGCACCGGCUAACUCUGUG